CCUACGGGAGGCAGCAGUGAGGAAUAUUGGUCAAUGGCCGCAGGGCUGAACCAGCCAAGUCGCGUGAGGGAUGACGGUCCUAUGGAUUGUAAACCCCUUUUGUCAGGGAGCAAAGGGCGCCACGUGUGGCGCUUUGCGAGUACCUUAAGAAAAAGCAUCGGCUAACUCCGUGCCAGCAGCCGCGGUAAUACGGAGGAUGCGAGCGUUUUCCGGAUGUAUGGGGUUAAAAGGGUGCGCAGGCGGAAUGGUAAGUCAGCGGUAAAAUUUCGGGGCUCAACCCCGUCGUGCCGUUGAAUCUGGCGUUCUUGAGUGAGCGAGAAGUAUGCGGAAUGCGUGGUGUAGCGGUGAAAUGCGUAGAUAUCACGCAGAACUCCGAUUGCGAAGGCAGCAUACCGGCGCUCAACUGACGCUCAUGCACGAAAGCGUGGGUAUCGAACAGGAUUAGAUACCCUGGUAGUC
rnacentral:rRNA from 1 species